rnacentral:rRNA from 1 species
GACGAACGCUGGCGGCGUGCCUAAUACAUGCAAGUUGAGCGCUGAAGGUUGGUACUUGUACCAACUGGGUGAGCAGCGCACGGGUGAGUAACGCGUGGGGCAUCUGCCUUUGAGCGGGGGACAACAUUUGGAAACGAAUGCUAAUACCGCAUAAAAACUUUAAACACAAGGUUUAAGUUUGAAAGAUGCAAUUGCAUCACUCAAAGAUGAUCCCGCGUUGUAUUAGCUAGUUGGUGAGGUAAAGGCUCACCAAGGCGAGGAUACAUAGCCGACCUGAGAGGGUGAUCGGCCACAUUGGGACUGAGACACGGCACAAACGCCUACGGGAGGCAGCAGUAGGGAAUCGUCGGCAAGGGGCGAGAGACUGACCGAGAAACGCCGCGUGAGUGAAGAAGGUUUUCGGAUCGGAAAACACUGUUUGUAGAGAAGAACGCUCGUGAGAGUGGAAAGCUCAUCAAGUGACGGUAACUACUAAGAAAGGGACGGCUAACUACGUG